UGAGAGGUGCAAUAGCUGCUGGGCUCU
rnacentral:piRNA from 1 species